rnacentral:rRNA from 1 species
GACGAACGCUGGCGGCGUGCUUAACACAUGCAAGUCGAACGGAAAGGCCCUGCUUUUGUGGGGUGCUCGAGUGGCGAACGGGUGAGUAACACGUGAGUAACCUGCCCUUGACUUUGGGAUAACUUCAGGAAACUGGGGCUAAUACCGGAUAGGAGCUUCUGCUGCAUGGUGGGGGUUGGUAAGGUUCGGCGGUUGGGGUUGGACUGGCGGCUUAUCAGCUUGUUGGUGGGGGAGUGGCUUACCAAGGCUUUGACGGGUAGCCGGCCUGAGAGGGUGACCGGCCACAUUGGGACUGAGAUACGGCCCAGACUCCUACGGGGGGCAGCAGUGGAGAAUAUUGCACACUGGGCGGAAGCAUGAUGCAGCAACGUCGCGUGCGGGAUGACGGUCUUCGGGUUGGAAACCGCUUUCGCCUGUGACGAAGCGUGAGUGACGGUAAUGGGUAAAGAAGCACCGGCUAACUACGUG